GACGAACGCUGGCGGCGUGCUUAACACAUGCAAGUCGAACGGAAAGGCCCUGCUUUUGUGGGGUGCUCGAGUGGCGAACGGGUGAGUAACACGUGAGUAACCUGCCCUUGACUUUGGGAUAACUUCAGGAAACUGGGGCUAAUACCGGAUAGGAGCUCCUGCUGCAUGGUGGGGGUUGGAAAGUUUCGGCGGUUGGGGAUGGACUCGCGGCUUAUCAGCUUGUUGGUGGGGUAGUGGCUUACCAAGGCUUUGACGGGUAGCCGGCCUGAGAGGGUGACCGGCCACAUUGGGAUGGAGAAACGGCCCAGACCCCUGCGGGGGGCAGCGGGGGGGAAAAUUACAAAAGGGGCGGGGGCCGGAUGCAGAACCGCCGGGUGGGGGAAGAGGGCCUUGGGGUUGUAAACCGCUUUCGCCGGUGACGAAGCGGGGGUGACGGAAAUGGGGAAAGAAGCACCGGCUAACUACGG
rnacentral:rRNA from 1 species